rnacentral:rRNA from 1 species
CAUGCAAGUCGAACGGACCGAUCCUGUCGCAGCGGACCGAGGAUUCGUCUGACGUCCAAAGCUUGGGAUAGGUUAGUGGCGUACGGGUGAGUAACACGUAGGUGACCUGCCCCGAAGAGGGGGAUAACUGCUGGAAACGGCAGCUAAUACCCCAUGUGAUCGGCGAUUCGUUUCGCUGAUUAAAGCUCCGGCGCUUCGGGAGGGGCCUGCGGCCGAUUAGCUAGUUGGUGGGGUAAUGGCUCACCAAGGCGAUGAUCGGUAGCUGGUCUGAGAGGAUGAUCAGCCACACUGGCACUGACACACGGGCCAGACUCCUACGGGAGGCAGCAGUGAGGAAUAUUGCGCAAUGGGCGAAAGCCUGACGCAGCAACGCCGUGUGGGCGAUGAAGGCCUUCGGGUUGUAAAGCCCUUUUCUGGGGGAAGAGGAAGGACGG